rnacentral:rRNA from 1 species
AUUGAACGCUGGCGGCAGGCCUAACACAUGCAAGUCGAGCGGAGCGGCGGACGGGUGAGUAAUGCCUAGGAAUCUGCCUGGUAGUGGGGGAUAACGUACGGAAACGGGCGCUAAUCCCGCAUACUAUCAGAUGAGCCUAGGUCGGAUUAGCUAGUUGGGGGGGUAAAGGCCUACCAAGGCGACGAACCGUAACUGGUCUGAGAGGAUGAUCAGUCACACUGGAACGGAGACACGGUGCCGACUCCUACGGGCGGCAGCGGGGGGGAAGAUGGGACAAUGGGCGAAAGCCGGAUCCAGCCAUGCCGCGUGUGUGAAGAAGGUCUUCGGAUUGUAAAGCACUUGAAGUUGGGAGGCGUUACCAACAGAAGAAGCACCGGCUAACUUCGUGCCAGCAGCCGCGGUAAUUC